rnacentral:antisense_RNA from 1 species
AGCCAUGGUGGCCGUGCGCGGGCACGCUUCUGCGUGGCCGGGGUUGUCUGAAGACUCGGUUCCUACCCCGCGUACGGCUGCCACCCAA